rnacentral:tRNA from 2 species
GUCUAUGUAGUAUAUUAAUUACACUGGUCUUGUAAACCAGAAAAGGGGAAUAAUAAUUCCCCCAAAGACU